CCACGCUGUUUCACACGCCAAGAAACGCGUCGUCAUCGACCGACGUGCACGCACGCACGCACACGGCGCCAUCCGCUGGGCUUUGCUACUCUUUAGCGUGUGCGCUUGCGCAACACCGCACUUGAAGCGCGGCUUUGAGCUUCAUACGCAGAACGAAGAAGCACAGGCGAAUGUCAGAUCAAGUUAAGCCGCCACGUCGAAACACCGCGGAGGACGAGACAGCAGAGGACCACACCGCCGAGGUGCCGGCGGAGGACGAGGAGGAGGUGCCGCUGUGCCAGCACGACACUUACGAUGCCACCCUCUCCCUGGCAGAUCGCGAGGCGAAGUGGGGCUUCUCCUUCAGCGAGCUGCAAUCUGCCGUGAAGGUUGUUCGGGUGCUGUUUCACAAUCCUGGCCUCUAUGUCGGUGACCCCUACCUGUCUGACAGCCGCCUCUACACAAUGAUCACCCGUGACCGGAAGACGAAACGCGAGAACCGCGACAUUUUCAAGGCGAUCAUGAAUGAAGAGAAGAGCCGUCGAAAGCGCUACCUGCGCCAGCAGGACAUCGAGGCGGUGCGCCGCACUGCCAUGAAGCGCGAGCGCGAUGAUGCUCUGAGCGCACUGCUUCUCGCAGGCAGCGAAGGGGCCAAUGACAACGUCGCACCGCUUCGGCUCGUUGAGCCGCCGAAGGCGCCGGGGUUGAACUGCAGUGACCAAGACGAAGACAACUUGAAGAGCAGUGCUGCCGGCACCGCUUCUGCAGCUGAUGGCGGUGCGGCAAGUAAUGCGGACACUCUGAGGCUCUCUGCAUCGGAGAAAGAGGUGUUGCGGCUUGUUGGUGCCUUUGAGAACCUUCUGCGUCUGGAGCAGGCCCUACGAGGAGAGCGGGUUGAGGGCUACGUAGGGGACAGCGCAGCCGCGGCGGGAAUUGCUGCGAGGUCUCGUGCUGCCGCAUCGCCAUCUGUGGCGACCCCGCCCGUCACCGGCGGAGAGGGCGAUCCAUCUGCGUCUAGCACAUCCUUCUCCACAGUGAAAAAAUCGCGCACAGAGACGGAUGCGUCGACGGCCGUCCCCGCCGUGGAGCGGGACUGGCUCGUGAUUACUCAACUCACCGCACAGGUGUACCGCUACCUCCCGCACUCGUACGGCUCCCAGAUGCCGCCACCCUUGUUUGAUGGCGCCGGGCCGGCGGACGCCGUGAACUCCCCUCUUGUAGUGCGCAGCUAUGUUCGCGGCAUGAAAUGCUAUGUGGCGCAGCGUGCUGCGGCGCUGGUGCACCUCGCGAAAACGGCGGCACCUCCAAAUACGCUAAAUUCUCCCAUCACCGUCGGAGGAGCGGAGCCUGCGCCGCUCCGCUCCCUAUUGGCGUCUACGCACCACGAUGUGAUCGUGCGAACCCCUCUUGUCGAGCUGCAGUCGAUUCACGGUCUUCGUUCGUUGAUUGAGGAUGGCGAUCCCGGCGCUGCGUCUUCGCAGGUGAUGGCGACGGUGGACCUGCCACUGGACGACCUGCUACGAGCGCUCGAGCUGGUGCUGCUGGAGGGGGCUAGUGACGAGCGGUUCUGCCCCGUGCCCGCGACCACUGACGGCGAUGGGGAGCAGGAUGAAGGGCGUGCGCGUGCGCAGCAGCUUUGCAUCGCCGAGCAGACGCUGCACUGCUUCAUCGCGCGUCGUGUGUACGGCUCUGCCAAAGUGCGCGGCUGCGGCCCUUCGCCGGUACUGAUUCAGCGCAGCCCUCCCAGCUCCUCCUCAGAGGAGCCGGAGGGGUACUGCAUCUACGACGAUGUGCAGCGCUACGCUGUCGAGCACCACGAGGAUGACGCACAGUUGAAGCUGAACAAGUUUAUCGGGUGCCACAUCUGCAAGGUGCGCUACAACCGCCUCCACCCGUACUACUACAGUAUGUGCCACCUCUGCGGCGAGUACAACUACAACAAACGCCUCAUGGCGCGGGACUUGCGAGGCAAAACGGUGCUCCUCACAGGCUGCCGCAUCAAGAUCGGGUAUGCGAUGGCGCUCUCGCUGCUUCGCUGCGGUGCCACCGUGCUCGGCACCACCCGCUUCAUCCACGAGGCGGUAGCGCGCUUUCAGCAGGAGAUCGACUACGACGUCUGGAAAGACCGCCUGCACCUCUUCUCGCUCGAUCUGCGGGAUAUGUGGGUUGUCACGCAGUUCUGCGCGUUUGUCCGACAGAGGUACAAGAAGCUGUUUGCCAUCAUCAACAACGCGGCGCAGACCAUCGCGCGGACACCGCAGUACACGGAGCACCUCCGCAACAUUGAGCUGAACCCGCCAGCUGCUCUGCAAGCCAGCAUCCAAGACGACGUAUGCGCAGCUGAGUGGCACAAUUUUUUCCUCCGUCACGCAACCGUCACGGUGGGGCAGCCGCUGUCUAUCGAGUACCAACCGAGCAUGCAGCCCUUCCUCGACACAAACCAGGCUGCCCGCCACGACGAUGCGGGCAAAACGAGGAACAGCAAGAGCGCAGCGCCGCAGUCUGGCAUCGCGGCGAGCAACGUGUUGCCGUCGGCGGACGGCGCCGCAGUGGCGUUGCACGUGGCGUGCGACCGCACCCUCAUCUUUGACCGCUACGACACACAAGCGGAAGAGAGCGACCACCGUGAGAAGAACUCGUGGGUGAUGAACCUCGCUGAGAUACAGGGCAGCGAGGCGGCCGAGGUGAUGGCCAUAAACGCCCUCUCCCCUUUCAUUCUCAAUGGUCGUCUCAAGGCGUGCCUGACAGACCGCGAGGGCGACGCCGUGGUGAGCGAGCCGCGCUUCAUCAUCAACGUCUCGGCGAUGGAGGGGCAGUUCUACCGGUUCAAGCAGACGACGCACCCGCACACGAACAUGGCCAAGGCGGCGCUGAACAUGAUGACGCGCACGAGCGCCGACGACUACGCAGCGGACGGAAUCUACAUGAACUCGGUAGACACCGGAUGGAUUACGGAUGAGUCGCCAAAGCUGAAGAAGGAUCGACGGGCAGAGCAGUUUAUGCUAUGCCCGCUGGACGAGGUAGAUGCGGCGGCGCGCUGUCUGGAUCUCAUCUUCACAAACAGUCGCAUGUACGGCAUGUUUUACAAGGACUUUAAGGUGAUUGCGUGGUGAUCGCGACGGCGGGUCCUGUCUGCAGGGAUGGUUGUGCGUGUUUCAUCCUUGCAGGCCCUUCCCAAGUUUUUGUUCCUGUUGUCGCCUCCGUUUUGGUUCGCAGGAGUGCAUCGGACAGUUGUUUGUCGUGGUUCCUCACACACCGGAAGGAGAAUGGGUGUCUGUGUCCGUGUGCGGGUGUACCGAUGUCUCUGUCUCUCUCGUUCGAGAGGGCAUGCACCGCCGCCCCUCCCCCCGCCCGCCCUCUCUCUCCCCACACACGCAGACAGAUACGGACGCAAUGCAGACCACGCCCCUUGUUCGCUUAAGUGGAUUUAAUUCCUUCCACCCUUUCAACGAAUCAUAAUCACCCAUGUGCUGAUUUCUCAUGUGGUGUGCGUGUGUGUGUGUGUGUGCGUGAGUGGGUGGGCAAGCAGACCCGCACGCAUGCGUGUCGCACGUCGCACCCCGCCCGCCUCUCCAUCCGUUCGUUGCCUGGUUACUUUCAGGGUGCAGGACUGGAGUAAGUACAGCGAGAGCGAUGGGCAUGGUGACGAUCUUGAGGGACACCAACACUCAUGCAGAGCACUGGUGGGUCGCCGCGACGCAGGGAAAGUCCAGGUUCUCUCUUCGUUCUCGGCUGCCUGUUUGUUCGCGAUGCUCUUCUAACGAUAGCAUAUCCACCCCUGCUCACGUUGGAGGAGAGGCGCACCGGCGCGCCGCAGCCCUCGCACACCUCCCCUGCGUACCCUACGCCUUUAAGGGGAGGAAUCUCUCACUUGCUCUCUCACUCUCGCUUCCUCAACAUGGCCACUUGUGUUUCCGGCCACUUCUUCUUGAUAUCCUUGUGCCCGUCUUUGCCGCCACACGAUGGAACGCAUCCGCCAUCUACUCCAG
rnacentral:misc_RNA from 1 species